rnacentral:rRNA from 1 species
GACGAACGCUGGCGGCGUGCCUAAUACAUGCAAGUAGAACGCUGAAGGAGGAGCUUGCUUCUCUGGAUGAGUUGCGAACGGGUGAGUAACGCGUAGGUAACCUGCCUGGUAGCGGGGGAUAACUAUUGGAAACGAUAGCUAAUACCGCAUAAUAGUGGAUGUUGCAUGACAUUUGCUUAAAAGGUGCAAUUGCAUCACUACCAGAUGGACCUGCGUUGUAUUAGCUAGUUGGUGAGGUAACGGCUCACCAAGGCAACGAUACAUAGCCGACCUGAGAGGGUGAUCGGCCACACUGGGACUGAGACACGGCCCAGACUCCUACGGGAGGCAGCAGUAGGGAAUCUUCGGCAAUGGACGGAAGUCUGACCGAGCAACGCCGCGUGAGUGAAGAAGGUUUUCGGAUCGUAAAGCUCUGUUGUAAGAGAAGAACGAGUGUGAGAGUGGAAAGUUCACACUGUGACGGUAUCUUACCAGAAAGGGACGGCUAACUACGUG